UGUAUAUAUAUGAUUAAAUCUAAUAUUUAAAAAGGUAUAAAUAAGUAACUAAUAAUAAACAUGAUAAUAGUAAUAACAACAUUAAAGAAUAACAAUAGAGAAAAGAAAAAAAGAAAAAAAGAUAACUGUAAUAGCCCAAUUUGCCCGGGGCCCAUUCAGAAUAAGCAAAAAAAAUCAAAAAAUAAUUAAAUGUCCACAGUCCAAAUACAUAGGCCCAACAUAGACCAAAUCGUUUUUAACCUAAACACUAGCCUAGCCCAAUAUCCCCAACCCAAUUAGCCUAACACCUAACCCUGGCCCAAAUCAUCUAAGCCCAAAACAAAAUCACAAACAGAAACCUCUGGAAACUAAGCCGCCGCAGCCGCCUCGCAAUGCGCCGCCUUCGGCUUUCCUCUCUACGCGCGCCACGCCACCACCUCCAUACUCCAGUACCUGCAGCAAACAACAAACAAAGCAACAAAAAGACGGACGAAAAGAAGGGCAACAAUGACAACAAAAAUACAGUGAAUAGUAUAGAGAAAAAGAUAAAAUUCUCUGUAAUUUUUGGCUAUAAAAAGCCGAUUUUAAAUCUGUAAUAUAGGUUACGAACACAGAAAAAUCAAUACAAAGAAGAAAGUUUUCAAAAAGCAUAUCAUUUUUAGGUGAUUCUAUUUCUUUUUUUCUGUUCUUCAAAUUUUUUUAUCUACGACUUGAAAGAAAAUAAGAGGGGAAAGUUUACCUUUACGCCGGUGUCGGACUCCUGUUCUCUCCGUCGCAAUCGGAGUUCGAAUGGAAGGACCGAGAGUGACGAAGUGAUCGAACGGUUCGAAAGCUUGGUCAAUUCGUUGAAAACGGCACUGUGAAUAUAGAGCACCUAGGGUUUUCUUUUAAAUUUGUUUUGGAAAUUAAAUGGUAGUUGAUUUAGGGGUUUUAGAAUAGGCUAUAUUGGGCGAAGGAAACGGCACCGUUUAGGGUCUGUUUCAAUGGCUCUAAAACGGUGCCGUAUUAGCACCUGAUCCACGCGGUGACCCGACCCGAGGGAAGGAUCCGCGCCUUUUUGGCUCAAUGGUCUAUUUGUGCUAUAAGUCCCUCUGUAUUUGGAUGUUGUUGCGAUCCAGUUCUCUGUCUUUUUUAAUUUGUACUGUUUAUUUGACUUCGGUUUCAUUUGAGUCAGCAGUAAAACGAUGUCGUUUUCACUACUUGGUUUUGAAUACCUGAAUCUGUGUGUUUAUUUGCUGUGUCGGUCCCUCAUUUUUUUAAUCGAAUAAAAU
rnacentral:lncRNA from 1 species